rnacentral:misc_RNA from 2 species
AACGCAUAUGGCACCUAAGGCUCCGGCCGAGGGUAUGCCUGCCUCAGCGUCGUUCCAACCCCCUCUCCGAUCCCGCCUUUCCGAAGGCUGGGACCUCGGAGGAGCUGGCCUCUCCCCUUUCCAAGGGACUGGCUGAAAGGCAAGCGGUCCGGUCGAUCGACCGGCACCUGUGGUGGUGGCCUAGCGCCUCCCCUCUGGGCCGGACGGUCGCACUGCCAGCGGCCCGACCAAAGCAACCCCCAAUCAUUCGACCUGAGUUCAGGCAAGAGCACCCGCUGAACUUAA